UCCCUCCUUUCUUUUGUUACAGAUUCCCUCACUGAAAGAGGAACUUCAGAUUCCUUUUCAAAGACCUGGGACCUUUGGCACACACGCAGACACCUGGACGAACCUGCAACUAACAUUUAAACUCCACAACUUUAUUUUUAAGACGCCACAUCUGCAUUCUUUUCUUCUGGUGUGGCUUCCUUCCUUUCAUCUCUCUCCUCUCCUAUUCUCCUUCCACUUAGCACUCCCUCUCUUUACAGUCCAUUUUCUCCCUUCCUACCACUCCCUUCUCUACGAUGACAACUUCUAUUCCUCCUCCCCAACCGAGAGGCAUCGACUUCAGCCUGCCGACCUGCGGAGAAACUCAGUGCAAUGACCACGGUACCUGUGUGCCUCCUCUGGGUGGUGGCACUGAGAUGGUGUGUGAGUGUAUGCUGGGCUACCAGGGAGAAUUCUGCGACGAAACAGUCAACGGGGCGCUAAGUAUACCGCUGACCCUGACUGUGCUGGCCGUCAUCAUCGGGAUACUGAUUGUGGCUUUCAUUGUUGCCAAGAUGAGGCAAAAGCAAAAGAAAAGACACAGGAAACUUAUGGCACAAAAAGAGGGAUACAACAUCGCUGUGUAAUGUGGAUAAAUCUCCAUUGUACCUGAGGUUAACCAUGACAUUGUGGCCAGUGACACUCCAUCAGCAUUCUUCUGCAGCUUCUGCUUAUAGCACAGUUUGUUGAAUUUUGUAAAAAGGAAAUUACAUCUACUACUCUUGAUGGCUGACUUGUGGAUACUCCUCUUUGACUGAUGCUGCAGCAUCCCAGAAACUCAAACACUGAACUGAAUGGAGCUUUAACAGGAUUAAGAGUGACACAACUUCACUGCAGUAAUUGUGUUUUUCAUGUAUCAAUUCAUGAUGGAAAAACUGCACAGUAUAUCCCCAAACACAUGAUUAAUUCAGGACAUGUAUCACAGAGCUUUCAAGCUGAUAAUUUAGACAGGAAAUAGAUGCCUGACUUGCAGUAUGUUUACAGGCAUGGGUAUAACACUGGUAUUUUGUUAAGCUGUCUUUACUAGAGUGUUUACCUCACGAACACAGCCGAGGCUUCAAGCUGAAACAAGACAUUUGCUGUUUUUCAUCUCUACAGCAGCAUACAUUUAGGGAUAACACCUUUGUGUCCAUAUUUCCGUAUAGUAUACAGUGUACGCACCAAGUGUUUAACGCAAAGAAAUGCAUCUCUUUACAGAUGGAUAAAAACAGGACCACAUAAACAGCAGAAAAGUAAAUUCUGACUGUUUUUCACCAUCCAGUCUUGUGGGGUAUGCACAUGGAGCAGUACAGAGACAAAACAGGACCAUUUAUACAUGGCGACUAAUAAGAGAGGAGGUUGGUCUGUCAGGUGUGUAGCCAGUUUUAGUUUGUGAGAAGAUACUGUAUGAACCACUAUGAAUGCACUCUAUAAGUGUUACACAGCUUGGAUACUACCAAUGUUAGCUAGUUUAACAUGCUGUCGAACUUUGUACCUGGAAAAAAAUGUAUUACAUUUGUUAAUCUGUUAGCUAGUUUGUUUUUCUUUUGGCAUAGUGCACACAAUUCAUCUGAAAUCUGCCACAAAAUUUCAUGCCUCGUUUCCAUUUUCGUAUGUGACUGGUGUCUAUAGAUCCGGAAAUAUAGAGAUGAUGUUCUAGUGUGCACUGCAAGGAAGUGCAUUUCUUUAUGGAUGGAUAGAAACCUGAUAGAAACUACUUGUAGCCAUAGGGAGAAGUUUUGAAUAUGCGCUUAAAACAUUAUCGGGACAAACGAGUCAUAAAAACGAUCUGACCGUAUAUAAUGUAUAACCAACAUUUAGGAGAAUAACAUUACUCAGAUUCACAAUGUGUUCAAACUAGAUAAACAAGUUCUUUGUAUCAUACAAAUUCAUUUUACAAUCCACAGGCAACUGAACUGAAGAAAAUAGCCUGUUAGCUAGUUAGCCUGCUGUACAAGACGUAGAUGCAACCAUUUUGUUAUUGUGGGCAUAAUCUUUGACUUCUUACGUACUGAAUUUGUCACUCUGCAAGAAAUGAACAGACUUUAAUGGAUUAAAUGAUCACGUUCGCAGUUUGAGUGCCCAUUGAGAAAUGUCAUGAUUUGUCUGUACCGCAACGCUACUUCCUUGAUCACAUUUCCCAUAUGAAGAAGCUUAUUUCCAUAGAUGAGCUGAUUGUGUCCUUUAUCACCGGCUACCUUUGCACAAUGAUGCAAAUGUUCACCUAUCACUACUCUCUUUGACGAAACAAUAGCUUCCUUUUAAAUACAGAGAAAGCACUGGUGACUGCGACAGCGAUGGUGAUUCUUACUGCCGUGUUUUUGUACACAACACCGAAGGAGUGUGUUUAUACAGGUGUUGAAAACUGAAAAUGGUUUCCAUAUCACGAGGGGUAAGCCAGGGAUUUUAACCAGAUUUGAUCUGUCAUUACCUUUUGAUGAAGACUUUAGUCUUUACUCCGUCCUUAGUUAUUUUGAAGAGUGUAGCCAGUGUUAAGUGCUUUUAUGUGCUGUAUUGUCUGUUUCUUUUGUUCACUACUGACUGAAUUACUAUGCUGUGUAUGUCUGUACUCUGUUGAUAUCAAUAUAUAUAUAUAUAGCCUAUGAAUAUAUAUAUGAUCUUGUCUUUCUCUCUGUAUUUGUGUUGCUGGAUUACACAGUAAUUCAUGUAGCCAGACUGCAUAUAACCACUGAACAUUGAUUGUGGAGGAGAUUUUGAUGACUGUCGUAUCAUCUGCAAACAGUCUUAAUCCUCUGGCAUUUAUGAGGCUGUAGAAUAAAAACUGUGUACCCAGGUGUGUGUGUUAGGCACACUGAGCAUGUACAUUUUUGUAUAUAAACUGAUUGUAAGUUGCUGAA